rnacentral:piRNA from 1 species
UACACUGGUAAACUGUCCUUGGGUGGCCC